AUAACAAUGAUUCCCCUAGUAACUGCGAGUGAAGAGGGACAAGCUCAAAUUUUAAAUCCGUCGGGUUUCACCUGAUCGAGUUGUAAUUUGAAGAGGCGUUUUCCGCGUUUUUGAUCAGUCCAAGUCCUUUGGGAUAGGGCAUCAUGGAGGGUGAGAAUCCCGUUCGGCUGAUCAGAUUCGCUUUACGAUACGUCAUCUAAGAGUCAAGUUGUUUGGGAAUGCAGCUUAAAAUGGGAGGUAAAUUUCUCCUAAGGCUAAAUAACGGCGAGAGACCGAUAGCGAACAAGUACCGUGAGGGAAAGAUGAAAAGAACUUUGAAAAGAGAGUUAAACAGUACGUGAAAUUGUUGAAAGGGAAACGAUUGAAGCCAGUCGUACCGGUGGGUAAUCAGCCUUUCGGCGUGAUUAUGUGGAGCGUGAGGAGUUAAACGCCCUCAUGGCCUGAAUAUUCGUGUUCUUUGGGUGUACUUACCCGCAUGGUAGGUUAACAUCAAUUUCGAACGUCAUAAAAUGGUUGGAGGAAUGUAGCUUCGAUCUCGUAUUGAAGUGUUAUAGCCUUCGGCAGAUGUGAUGAUCGGGAUUGAGGAUUGCAACGGAUACCCCUCGGGCUACCCGUCUGAUCUCUGAAAGUUGCUCUGGUGCCGAAAGCUCGCUUACGGUCAUCAAAGUUGACGUUCAACAGGUUAGAACGGGAUAAAUUCGUUAAGGAUGU
rnacentral:rRNA from 1 species